rnacentral:misc_RNA from 1 species
UCCGGCUUAACGCCGGCAGUCUCCCUAGAGUGCCCAACUGAAUAGUGGCAACUAAGAACGAGGGUUGCGCUCGUUGCGGGACUUAACCCAACACCUCACGGCACGAGCUGGCGACAGCCAUGCAACACCUGUGCGGGCUCCCGAAAGAGCACCGUGUUUCCACGGCUUCACCCCGCAUGUCAAGCCCAGGUAAGGUUCUUCGCGUCGCAUCGAAUUAAGCCACAUGCUCCGCCGCUUGUGCGGGCCCCCGUCAAUUCCUUUGAGUUUUAGCCUUGCGGCCGUACUCCCCAGGCGGGGUGCUUAAUGCGUUAGCUACGGCACAGAACCGGUCGAUCCCGGCCCCACACCUAGCACCCAUCGUUUACGGCUAGGACUAC